ACAACUCAUUUCAUCCCAAAAUCUCAGUUUUCAUCACAAACUCCAGUAAACAAAGUCUCCUGAUAGCCUUUUAUGUUAGUAUUAGUAACUCCAGUCAUGAACUCACCUGAAGCAAUUAUCCAGGGACUUCCUAAUUGUAUUCCAUCAUAACACGGGGAGUUACGCAGGGUAUUAUUUUAAGGCUGUUAGCACCUCUUGGCCUGUGACUCCAACACUGGAAGAGUGCUGGGCACAGCAGGUGUCUUGAGAGCAUCUGGUGUAGGAAUGAGAAGUGCGUUCUGCUCCAUUUCCAUGGAAAUCUCUCUGAAGAUGGAGCUAAUUUGGAAGAAAAUGUUCUCUUUGCAUCUAAGGCCCUUUUCUUAAAUGAGGACCUGUCCCUUGUGUGAAAUGCUGCGUGAACUCGGAAGGAACAGUGUGUCCU